rnacentral:lncRNA from 1 species
GGGGUGUAAGGUUAAUAAGUAUACAGAUGUUAUACAGUAUACAGAGAAGUUUGGCUGGUAAGAUUACUGCAUUGGAAAAGAUAAUCAGAUAUAAACAAAAGGUGCUCACCGGUGUUGUAGGCUCACAAAAAGCCCAUGAGGAGCAAUCUCCAGGAAGAGAUCCUUCCUCACUGGCAGUCAGCCCUAAAAUGGGGUCUAGGAGAGGUGCAGCCUGGCUCCACCCCUUCUGGUCACACAGCUGAAUUGCCUUCACCUGUGCUCCCAGGGCUGACUCAGUGCUUGCCUCAGGUGGUCAAUCAGAGGUUCAGGCUGUGAUUCAACAUUUCCCAUACAAGGGGCGUGGAGCAUCUCCCUUGUGAGGAAAGCCUAAGAGGGCUGGGACUGUUCAGCCUGGAGAAGACUGAGAGGGGAUCUCAUAACCUGUGUGACCAACUGUAUGGAACCUGCCUUAGCAGGAUGUUGGCCUCAAUGAUCUCCAGAGAUCCCUUCCAGCCCCUACAAGUCUGUGGUUAUGUGAUCUUCUGAAGAGGACUUCAAACUAAGGUGGAGAACCCAUCAUAAAACCAGGAAGGGCUUUAAACAAGGGGAUGAGCUGCAGUUGGCAUUGCUGUCUCAUCAGUACUCUGAGAUCCAUCAUAUAUCGACCCAGACACAAACUCCAAGGCAUUCAAACACCCCUUUGCCUGUAAGACAUCUGUCUAAGAAGUGGAUGAAGCUGGAAGCUUCUGCUGUCCCCCCAUCUUUAUUUUUUUUAAAUGAUGCAGAUGUAACCUUUGACUCCAUGCUGCACUACAGACAGAGCUGAGAAACAUGGCUUCUGCCUGCACAGCCUGUAUGUCUUGAACAUGUAACUGUUACACUGAAAGGAGAUCACCAGACAUUCCCACAGGUCCUUACCCCUUUCUGCAUUAAGGCAGACAUACUUUUGAGGAAAAAAAAAAAAAGACACAUUAGUUUACAUUAAAAAAAGACACACUACUGUGCCCACUGUAGGGUCCCAUGAGAAAUGUCAGCAAAGCAGAGAUGCGCACUAGAGAAGAUUCACCAAGAGAACAUUGAUGUUCAACUAUGUUUAAUGAGGAGAUGGUGGCUGGGCUCACAUAACCAAGAGAACACACUGUUACAGUCCACGCUAUCUGAAAUUGUGUAUGCUCCUCACCACUGUCCUUCAGAGCUGCCAAAUCAACUGUUAUUGGGAAGUGAGGGUAUUAACGUUAUGGCCACUGCAUCAAUAGCAAGCUGAAGGUCAAGCAGGUGUGCUCACCAAUGCAGGAUGAGCAACUGAAGGCUCCUGAACUUACAUAGUAAAAGCAUCCUACAUGGGCAAAACAUAAUCAAAAUGCUCAUGUGAGUUAAUUUGUAUUUUCCCAGGAAAUGCCAGUGCCUCAAAGUGAUACCCAAAGAACUGGACACGAGCAGUUAGCAACCCCACGCUGGAAUUGUGAUGACUGAUUUCUCUGUUAAAAGAACAAAAAAGAACACUUGAAAGUCACAAGAAACGCUUACCUGCUUCUUCUCUCUGCUUGUUUCCGAGUGCCAGCUCCAGUAUUCCGUAGGGUCUUCAUCAGUUCCAUCUGCUGACUUUUUAUUUCAGCACUUUCUUGGAGGCAGAGGGGGUUGAUUGGAAGGAACCUCUGGAGACCUCUGGCCCAACCCCGUGCGCAUAAUGGGACAGUAGCGAACACUCAUCAACUGGCUUUGCCUGGCUGACUCUUGGUAACCUCCACGGAUGGAGAUCACAUUUAAGUGACACUACAUCAAGAAAAUACACUAUAGAGUUGUCUAAACUAUUAUUCUCUUCGCCAAACAAAUUGACUUCUGUGCAUUUACUGUAACGCUGGAAGACAAAAACCCUGAUGCUUGAGUAAUGACUGCAGAUGAGGCAUUAGGAAUGCUAGCUACAUACAGAGUCAUGCUCUGCUGUUCUGUCUGGAAGGAAGCCAAACAGCAGAUGAUAGAAUAAAUAUAAGUGAAAGCACAUAUUUUCCGAUAACUGACAUGGAAUUGCUCUGGGUUACUCAUUUAG